GAGAGAGUAAGAUUUAACCUGAAGAAUUGCUAGUCCUUCAAGACCGUGGUUUAAAUCCACGGCUCACUCG
rnacentral:tRNA from 1 species